rnacentral:rRNA from 1 species
UACGGGGGGUGCGAGCGUUGUCCGGAAUCACUGGGCGUAAAGGGCUCGUAGGCGGCCAACUAAGUCAUACGUGAAAUCCCUCAGCUUAACUGGGGAACUGCGUGUGAUACUGGAUGGCUUGGAUUUGGGAGAGGGAUGCGGAAUUCCAGGUGUAGCGGUGAAAUGCGUAGAUAUCUGGAGGAACACCGGUGGCGAAGGCGGCAUCCUGGACCAAUAUUGACGCUGAGGAGCGAAAGCCAGGGGAGCAAACGGG